CAGUCGCCGCGGGAAAACGUAGGUGGCAAGCGUUGUCCGGAAUUAUUGGGCGUAAAGGGCUCGCAGGCGGUUUCUUGAGUCUGAUGUGAGAGCCCCCGGCUCAACCGGGGAGGGUCAUUGGAAACUGGGAAACUUGAGUGCAGAAGAGGAGAGUGGAAUUCCACGUGUAGCGGUGAAAUGCGUAGAGAUGUGGAGGAACACCAGUGGCGAAGGCGACUCUCUGGUCUGUAACUGACGCUGAGGAGCGAAAGCGUGGGGAGCGAACAGGAUUAGAUACCCCAGUAGUCCCUGUCUCUUAUAA
rnacentral:rRNA from 1 species